rnacentral:ribozyme from 1 species
CAUUGUGCAACUCCUAUUCCAACCUCCUCUUGGUACUGGCAGUAUUACGAGCAACCUUAGGGAUCAUCGGGUAACCAAACCCGGUGGGAACUUUGGUCGUUUGCUGACAGGAGAGG